rnacentral:rRNA from 1 species
AUUGAACGCUGGCGGCAGGCUUAACACAUGCAAGUCGAGCGGGGAAGGGUAGCUUGCUACCUGACCUGGCGGCGGACGGGUGAGUAAUGCUUAGGAAUCUGCCCAUUAGUGGGGGACAACAUUCCGAAAGGAAUGCUAAUACCGCAUACGCCCUACGGGGGAACGCAGGGGAUCUUCGGACCUUGCGCUAAUAGAUGAGCCUAAGUCAGAUUAGCUAGUUGGUGGGGUAAAGGCCUACCAAGGCGACGAUCUGUAGCGGGUCUGAGAGGAUGAUCCGCCACACUGGGACUGAGACACGGCCCAGACUCCUACGGGAGGCAGCAGUGGGGAAUAUUGGACAAUGGGCGCAAGCCUGAUCCAGCCAUGCCGCGUGUGUGAAGAAGGCCUUUUGGUUGUAAAGCACUUUAAGCGAGGAGGAGGCUACUUGGAUUAAUACUCUAGGAUAGUGGACGUUACUCGCAGAAUAAGCACCGGCUAACUCUGUGCCAGCCGCCGCGGUAA